CCUUCUACCAUUGAACAACUGCUGAGAAUGGAGAAAGCUUACAAAAGAAGAGAAGAGACAUGCUUCACUCAGGUAGGCAAUAUUGCUUCUUUAACCCCAGGUGCAGCUAUAGAGGCUUCCAAGUAUAUUAAGGUAAGAAGGCAUUUGAGAAUGGAGUUUACGCUGCAGGUACCCACGUCUUCCUGCAUACUCCAGAGACUAGAUUUGGGUUUGAAUCGAUUCUGUGGCUUUCUUUUACAAAUUUCACUCCAGCCUAACAUUGUCUCAACAUUGUCCUCGCCCACUACCAAUAAUUUCCACUUUAGUAACAACAUUCAACUAUUCUCGAGAAUAGCUGAGCCUCAAAUUGGGUAACACCACCUCAUAGUGUCAUAGAACUGAGAUCCCGUGACCCUACCAACCUGUAGGUGUGCAGUGCAUCAGCUGCUGCAACUUGUUACCCAACUGCUGC
rnacentral:lncRNA from 1 species